rnacentral:rRNA from 1 species
GACGAACGCUGGCGGCGUGCUUAACACAUGCAAGUCGAACGAGAUCCAUGUUGUAGCAAUACUUCGGAAGAUCUAGUGGCGAACGGGUGAGGAACACGUGAGGAACCUGCCCCGGACUUCGGGAUAACAGUUGGAAACGAUUGCUAAUACCGAAUACCUCUGCGAAGUGGCAUCACUAUGCACAGAAAGAAUUCCGGUCCGGGAGGGUCUCGCGGCCUACCAGCUAGUUGGAGGGGUAACGGCCUACCAAGGCAUCGACGGGUAGCUGGUCUGAGAGGAUGAACAGCCACACUGGGACUGAGACACGCCCCAGACUCCUACGGGAGGCAGCAGUGGGGAAUCUUGUGCAAUGGGCGAAAGCCUGACACAGCAACGCCGCGUGCGGGAAGAAGGCCUUCGGGUCGUAAACCGCUUUCAGCAGGAACGAAAAUGACGGUACCUGCAGAAGCAGGUGCGGCCAACUACGUGCCAGCAGCCGCCGCGG